UACGUAGGGUCCAAGCGUUAUCCGGAAUCACCGGGCGUAAAGCGUGCGUAGGCGGGUGUUUAAGUGCAAUGCGAAAUCCUGUGGCUCAACCAUAUGGACUGUAUUGCAUACUGGAUACCUGGAGGAAUGCAGAGGCAAGUGGAAUUACUGGCGUAGCAGUGAAAUGCGCAGAUAUCAGGAGGAACACCGGUGGCGAAGGCGGUUCUCUGGGCAUGUCCUGACGCUGAGGAGCGAAAGUGUGGGGAGCGAACAGG
rnacentral:rRNA from 1 species